rnacentral:rRNA from 1 species
GUUGGAUGAGAAAAAAACUGUCUCUAUUUAAUUUAUAUAGAAUUUUAUUUUUAAGUUAAAAAGCUUAAAUUUUUUUAAAAGACGAGAAGACCCUAUAGAGUUUAAUAUAAUUUUAAUGUUAAAUUUUUUAGUAUUAUAAAAUUUAAAUUUAAAAUUUUAUUUAAUUGGGGUGAUUGAAAAAUUUAAUUAACUUUUUUUUAAUAAAAACAUUAAUUGAUGAAAUUUUGAUCCAUUAUU